rnacentral:tRNA from 4 species
GGCUUCGUAGUUCAACUGGAUAGAAUAUCGGAUUUCGGCUCCGAGGGUUGGGGGUUCGAACCCCUCCGAAGUCAC